rnacentral:lncRNA from 1 species
CACAUACACUCACACACCCCGUCCCUUUCCCUCCUCGCAGAAGCCGAGGAGAUGCCAUGUGAGGGUGCAGCGAGGAGUUGGGCUGUCUAAAAGCAAAGAAAGAGAUUGCAUCAGACACCGCAUCUGCUGACACCUUGUUCUUGGACUUCCAGCUUCCAAAACCGCGAGAAAUAAAUGUCUGUGUCUAAACCCCAACCCUACCACCUCAACUGCCGUGUGUGGUGUUUUGUGAUGGCAGCCCCAGCUGACUGAGACACCUGGUUAGACCGGAAUAAGCAGGCUGCAAUCGGUAGCAGUCACCAUUGAACAUCCUUGAAGCAAUUCUUCCAAAAUUACCUUGCAUCAAAGACUGCACAAGAACUGCUCUAAGCGGAAGGACUGAUGUCGGCAACCAGGGUUCCACCAGGGGCUGCAGACAGCCCUUGACCUUCAGGUGGGAAGGUGUCACUGAGUUCAGACCCUCUGGCAAUCCCUAGCUAUCAACAUUUUGAUAAGAAAAUAAGUGGAAAGGUAGAACUGGAAGAUUUUGCUGAAAGAUUGGACAUGGCAUUCAGAGAAACAGAGGUUUUAAUGACAAACUCCAAGUUUUUGGCUGGAGCAACUGGAAGAAUGAGGUUGCCAUGAACCGAAAAGAGAGAUUGCAGAAGUAACCAAAUUUACUCACGUAGGCCAGGAAUUUCUAUGACGUGUUCCAAAUUCAGCCUCUCACUGAACACUUCCAGAGCAAGGCAACAUAAACAUCUGCAAGAAGAACAUUGUGUGAGAAAUAUCAAGUGAGAGUGGAAGAGUCUGCGGAGGGCCUCCCUGGGGCUCACCUGUGCUUUUGCCUGAGCUUCACCGUGUCAAGGAUGCAGCACUUUUUCCCUCUGGAGGAAGCAGCUUUCACCUUGGAAGAAUCUUGACCUUGCCAUUCAAAGUCACCAGACAGGGAAUCUGCCAGUGCCUUGAUCUUAGACUUCCCAGCUUCUGUAACUGUGAGCAAUAAAUGUAUGCUGCUUAUAAACUAUCCAGUCUCAUGCAUUUUGUUAUAGCAAUAUAAACAGAUGAAGACAGACAUAAACAUAUCUUUUUGAGAGAUGCAAUGCAACCCAUACCACCAGGAUUGCCACAUGUUUGCUGAUUUCACCUGGUAGCAAGGCUUAGCUAUCUUGGCUUGAAUGUAAUACCUCCAUCUUUUCUCUUGGUCAUCCUCUUUAAGCAGAGGACUUUUAUCUACCCAAGCAGAAUCCUGUGUUCUUGCUAUUCGAAGUGCAGCCCAGCCUCCUGCAGCCACCACAUCACUUGUGAUGCUUGACAGAAAUGCAGACUCUCUGUUCCCACCUCAAACCUACUGACUUGGGAAUCUGCAGCUUACCAAGAUCUCCAGGUGAUCCACGUACACGUCAAACUUUGAAAAGCAGUGGUUUGCAGAACAAAAAGGAUUCAGCUUCUGAUAUGGUUUGGAUUUGUGUCUGUACCCAAAUCUCAUGUCAAAUUGUAAUCCCCAGUGUUGGAGGAGGAGCCUGGUGAAAGGUAAUUGGAUCACGGGGGCAAACUUCCCCCUUGCUGUUAUCAUGAUAGUGAGUGAGUUCUCAUGAGAGCUGGUUGUUUAAAAGUUUAAAAGCACCUCCCCCUUCGCUCUCUCUUCCACCUUCUCCAGCAAUGUAAAAUGAACCUGCUUCCCCU